rnacentral:rRNA from 1 species
ACCUACGGGGGGCAGCAGUGAGGAAUAUUGGUCAAUGGGCGGAAGCCUGAACCAGCCAAGUCGCGUGAGGGAAUAAGGCCCUACGGGUCGUAAACCUCUUUUGCCGGGGAGCAAGGGCCGGGACGCGUCCCGGCCCGGAGAGUACCCGGAGAAAAAGCAUCGGCUAACUCCGUGCCAGCAGCCGCGGUAAUACGGAGGAUGCGAGCGUUAUCCGGAUUUACUGGGUGUAAAGGGAGCGUAGACGGCUGCGCAAGUCAGAAGUGAAAGCCCGGGGCUCAACCGCGGGACUGCUUUUGAAACUGUGU